rnacentral:rRNA from 1 species
AUUGAACGCUGGCGGCAGGCCUAACACAUGCAAGUCGAACGAGUGGCGGACGGGUGAGUAAUGACUGGGAAACUGCCUGAUGGAGGGGGAUAACUACUGGAAACGGUAGCUAAUACCGCAUACCAUCCGAUGGGCCCAGAUGGGAUUAGCUAGUUGGUGGGGUAACGGCUCACCAAGGCGACGAUCCCUAGCUGGUCUGAGAGGAUGACCAGCCAUACUGGAACUGAUACACGUGCCAGACCCCUACGUGAGGCAGCAGUGGGGAAUAUUGCACAAUGGGCGCAAGCCUGAGGCAGCCAUGCCGCGUGUAUGGAGAAGGCCUUCGGGUUGUAAAGUACUUUCAGCGGGGAGGCGUUACCCGCAGAAGAAGCACCGGCUAACUCCUUGCCAGCAGCCGCUGUAAUAC